AGAGUUUGAUCAUGGCUCAGAUUGAACGCUGGCGGAAUGCUUUACACAUGCAAGUCGAACGGUAGAGGGGGCAACCCCUUGAGAGUGGCGAACGGGUGAGUAAUGUAUCGGAACGUGCCCAGUCGUGGGGGAUAACGUAGUGAAAAUUACGCUAAUACCGCAUACGAUCUAUGGAUGAAAGCGGGGGAUCGCAAGACCUCGCGCGAUUGGAGCGGCCGAUAUCAGAUUAGGUAGUUGGUGGGGUAAAGGCCUACCAAGCCAACGAUCUGUAGCUGGUCUGAGAGGACGACCAGCCACACUGGAACUGAGACACGGUCCAGACUCCUACGGGAGGCAGCAGUGGGGAAUUUUGGACAAUGGACGCAAGUCUGAUCCAGCCAUUCCGCGUGCAGGACGAAGGCCUUCGGGUUGUAAACUGCUUUUGUACGGAACGAAAAAGCCUUGGUUAAUACCCAGGGUCCAUGACGGUACCGUAAGAAUAAGCACCGGCUAACUACGUGCCAGCAGCCGCGGUAAUACGUAGGGUGCAAGCGUUAAUCGGAAUUACUGGGCGUAAAGCGUGCGCAGGCGGUUAUAUAAGACAGAUGUGAAAUCCCCGAGCUUAACUUGGGAACUGCAUUUGUGACUGUAUAGCUAGAGUACGGCAGAGGGGGAUGGAAUUCCGCGUGUAGCAGUGAAAUGCGUAGAUAUCAAGAGGAACACCAACGGCGAAGGCAAUCCCCUGGGCCUGUACUGACGCUCAUGCACGAAAGCGUGGGGAGCAAACAGGAUUAGAUACCCCUGUAGUCCACGCUGUAAACGGUGCGCAUUAGGUCUCGGAGCUUUCGAACGCUCCGGGGCUCAAGCUAACGCAUUAAAUGCGCCGCCUGAGGACUACGGCCGCAAGGCUAAAACUCAAAGGAAUUGACGGGGGCCCGCACAAGCGGUGGAGCAUGUGGCUUAAUUCGAUGCAACGCGAAGAACCUUACCUGGGUUUGACAUGGACGUGGUAGCCGGGGCGAAAGCUCUGGCGACCCGCAAGGGAGCGUUCACAGGUGCUGCAUGGCUGUCGUCAGCUCGUGUCGUGAGAUGUUCGGUUAAGUCCGGCAACGAGCGCAACCCUCGCCUCCAGUUACCAGCGAGUAAAGUCGGGGACUCUGGAGGGACUAACCCGUUAGGGUGGGAAGGUGGGGAUGACGUCAAGUCAGUAUGGCCCUUACAUCCAGGGCUGCACACGUGCUACAAUGCCUGGUACAAAAGGAUCCGAUGCCGCGAGGCGGAGGAAAUCCCCAAAGCCAGGCCCAGUUCAGAUUGCAGUCUGCAACUCGACUGCAUGAAGCCGGAAUCGCUAGUAAUGGUAGAUCAGCUACGCUACCGUGAAUACGUUCCCGGGCCUUGUACACACCGCCCGUCACGUCAUGAAAGCCGCUUCCGCCCGAAGUAUCCGAGCCAACCGCAAGGGGGCAGGGUCCUAAGGCAGGGGUGGUGAUUGGGACGAAGUCAUAACAAGGUAGCCGUA
rnacentral:rRNA from 1 species